ensembl:snRNA U6 U6 spliceosomal RNA
GUGCUCGCUUCGGCAGCACAUAUACUAGAAUUGGAAUGAUACAGAGAAAAUUAGCAUGGCUCCUGCACAGGAAUGACAUGCAAAUUCAUGAAGCCUUCCAUAUUUUU